rnacentral:misc_RNA from 1 species
UCCGGUUUGGCACCGGCAGUCUCCCUAGAGUUCCCGGCAUGACCCGCUGGCAACUAAGGACAGGGGUUGCGCUCGUUGCGCCACUUAAGGCAACACCUCACGGCACGAGCUGACGACAGCCAUGCACCACCUGUGCAGGCUCCGAAGAGCGCCCGCUUUCACGGGUUUCACCCUGCAUGUCAAGCCCAGGUAAGGUGGGGAUGACGUCAAGGUACGGAC